UUGCAGUUCAUUAAAUAAUGACUGCCACCGUUUAUAACACCAAAUAAUCCUCUCAGGUGAUGGUUUUAUCAUAGUCCGUGCUCGCUUCAAUAAUGUUUUCAUCCAAAACGUCUUACCUGAACCAGUAGGUCCAGCCAACAUCAUAGUGAAUGGAUGAUGUAAUACCACAUUCUUUGGCGGCGGCGGAGGGGUGGUGGCGGAGGCGGUGGCGGAGGUGUAAGCGGCGGCGGAUAUGCAUCAUUGGUCUUCGGAUAUGGUUGACUGAUUCUGUGUUUGUUUCUUUGGUGUCGCAACAUGAC
rnacentral:lncRNA from 1 species